UACAAGGCUACCCCCGGCUCGCCUCCGCCACACCAUGGAGGUCAAGGUCAUGGGUGCGGCCAUGGCCACGGAGGGCACACCGGCAUGGGGUGGCUAGCCGCCGGAGUCGGAGCCGGAGCUGGGGCUUACGGAGCGUACCACCACUUCCACAAACACCACGGACAUGGUGGACACUAUGGCGACGGCGGUUACGGCGGCCAUGGCUACGGCCACCAGGGCAAGUUCAAGCACGGUCACCACGGCAAGUUUAUGCACUACGCGCAUGGCAAGUUCAACAAGCAUGCUGGGCAAGGCAAGUUCGGCGACAAGCCCCCCGUCACAGUAUUGGAGACAGCAUGAGUUGAGAGGUCAAUCGAGCUCACCCUGAUUGAUGCCAGCUGCUUAUAGCCUUAUACUAAAUAAGCUCCGUUAUGAUCAUCCUCUCUCUGGCCUGUGGGCUUUCCGAUCCCUUUCAUCAGGACACUGCAUGCUCGAUCUGUCUUGCUUGUUAGCAAGUUAAUUAAAAGCUUCUGCCUUUCCGAUGUAGUAUUUAUACUAGCUACUGCACUUAGCAGGGUGAUCGUUCAUCCUAGCUACUUCUAUCUAUAUAGUUGCAUGUGUCUCCUUUAUCUAAAAAUAUAGUUGCUGUGUGUUUUCUUUUGUUUUCUAGAGUAUGCAGGAGAACUACGUGUGUAUACUUGCAUUAUGUACUACUCUGGCGGUUUGUGUCCGAGCAUCACAUGGUUUGCAAAUAAACACGGAACUGAAUAUAGCCCUGUGUUGAUAUA